rnacentral:rRNA from 1 species
AUUGAACGCUGGCGGCAUGCUUUACACAUGCAAGUCGAACGGCAGCACGGGGGCAACCUUGGUGGCGAGUGGCGAACGGGUGAGUAAUGCAUCGGAACGUACCCAGUCGUGGGGGACAACGUAGCGAAAGUUACGCUAAUACCGCAUGAGACCUGAGGGUGAAAGCAGGGGAUCGCAAGACCUUGCGCGAUUGGAGCGGCCGAUGUCAGAUUAGCUAGUUGGUGGGGUAAAGGCCCACCAAGGCGACGAUCUGUAGCGGGUCUGGGAGGAUGAUCCGCCACACUGGGACUGAGUCACGGCCCAGACGCCUACGGGAGGCAGCAGUGGGGAAUUUUGGACAAUGGGCGCAAGCCUGAUCCAGCCAUGCCGCGUGCGGGAAGAAGGCCUUCGGGUUGUAAACCGCUUUCGGACGGGAAGAAAUCGCCACCGAUAAUACCGGUGGUGGAUGACGGUACUGUAAGAAGAAGCACCGGCUAACUACGUGCCAGCCGCCGCCGUAACAC